UACGUAGGGGGCAAGCGUUGUCCGGAAUCAUUGGGCGUAAAGAGCGUGUAGGCGGCCCGGUAAGUCCGCCGUGAAAGUCCAGGGCUCAACCCUGGGAUGCCGUCGAUACUUCUGGGCUGGAGCACUGUAGAGGCAGGUGGAAUUCCGGGUGUAGCGGUGGAAUGCGUAGAGAUCCGGAAGAACACCGGUGGCGAAGGCGGCCUGCUGGGCAGUUGCUGACACUGAGGCGCGACAGCGUGGGGAGCAAACAGG
rnacentral:rRNA from 1 species